AACUUAGCCAUACAGUACAAAUGGCACGCCUUAUUAAAAAUCAACAAUGAGCUCAAAAGGCGCACUACUAAAAACAAAAAAACACCAUUGACGAUUCAAUUAGAAGGUGAAAAGCGAAAUCAUGUGGCUGUGAGCCACACCGCAUGCAGAAACGAGGGUGACUGCACAUAUUGUACAGCGAGUAAUCGAAAAAGCAGUAAAGCAGUAAAGAUAGCUAUUUAUAAAAUUUGGAGCGGUCGAAAUUGAUUUUACCGGAUUGUGUUUUAUAAUUUUAUUAGAAUCCAAAAAUGAAAGGAACGAUGUCGAAAAAUUGAUCCACUAUAAACAACAUGGUUCCACCACUCGUCAGCUGAUACGCUCUUAUAACUGACUAUUGGGGAAAAAUGUUAGCAACUUUCUGUGGGAACUUUCUGGACCUUUUUUAAAUCAUGAUGCUAUAUUUUAUUUCUACUGGCGUUUAUACAUUGAAUAAAUAUUUUCUUGCCUAAAAGUUUAUAUGGGAAGACCUCCAUGAAAUGCGUUUUCGAGAGAAAAAAUGUAGCCCUUAAAUACAGCAAAAGAUUCCAGCUGCUUUUCGCAAUGGUGGAGGAUGGAGUUUCAUCUUUCAAAAUGUAAGUGUAUUUAUCGCUGCUUUCGCAUCUUAGUAAUCCAAAAUGAUGAGCUAAAGACGAAGAGCCAAUUUGCACGAUGACUUUUCACUCUUGGUGGUGUCGAGUGUUGAGAAUUCAAUGGGGUAGGCAUGCAUACGCGGUCAGAGAAAUCCAGGGUUUUUACAUUUCAUUUGCAUCGUAUUCAUAUUUUCGUAUUUUUAUUCAAGUGUACUUUGGGCUUGCGCUCAGCCAACGAAUGAACAGAGAAAAUUUCCACUUAAACGUUAAAAACAAUGAAAGCCGCAAACAAAAAGUGAUCGCGUAAAUGUACGAAGAUUUUCGAAGACUUCUUUAAAAGAUAUUGCGCAAAAAACCCAGGGUGAAAAUUCAUCAUAUAAAUUGGCUAAAAAAUAUCAAAACUUACAAUGGAAAUGCCAACCAACAGCUUACAACAUUUACGACUGCCAAGUUUCAUAAUACAAAUAGUGACCCUCGUGUUUACAGUUAUGUAAUGCAUUAUAAUUUUACAUAUGCUUACUGCAUAAAUGUUUCCCAUAACUGAGGGCAUUGUUUUGUAGUAUCGAAUUUCUAUUUUCCAACAAAAACUAUUAUAGUUACUAGCAGGGUGACACCUAUAAAAAUGAAAAUAAAAGUUUCCGAUGGCGAAUUUUUUUUUAUAAAUCUUGUUUCUACCUACUAAAAAUUGGCAUUUCACCCAAAAAUUAGGCAAACUUUUUAGAUUUAGCCUUGCACUACAUCUACAGCGGACCGUUAUUUCGGCAUUCUAAGAACACCUAAGACUUGCUUGAGAAGUACUACGAGGAAAUCUGGCCUAAAUAGUUUUAUGUAUGCUGAAUGGCCACAGAAAGUUUGUUAAGGAAUAUGGGGCGGAAUUAAAAUAUUUUUUUUAUAUAAUAAAUAAAUUUAUAUAAAACAAAUUAUCAUAACAAAUAAAUUAGAACAUUCAGAAACAUUUGGCUGUCCCUUUCAUAUUAGCUGGCUACGCCGUUGAACCAAAUAAUAAGUUUUAUUCCCGGAAACGUUUGUUUCACUUGAAAACCUCUUACCAUAAGCCGAUAAGGUCUCGCUUUAAAGUCGAGAGUAGUAAAAUGAAAAAUAAAAAAAAUUUGUAAUAUCAUAAUUUGUAUUGUCAAUAAAAUGAAAAACAGAGAUGUUUAUAAGUAAAUAUACAUACUAACUUUAUUUUAAUUAGGUCUGAGCUCGAGAAAUUACUGAGAAAACAUAUUUGUUCAGUUAAUAAAAGUAGAUGAAAAUAAAAUGUAAGCACAUCAACAAAUUUUAUAUAAUAUGUAUAGAGUUUUUUAAUAAAAGGUGCUAUUUUGAUAUUUAAAGGAAAAUGCUAUUUUUUAAUAUAAAUGAUAGGAUAUUUAUUUCAUUAUAAAGAGGAAGGUAUGCCGUUAAUAGAGGAAAAUAACAUCAGGCAAAUGGCCACCACGACCACGCUUACAAGACAGUAUCCUUUUCAUGAAAUUUUCCAUAACCGAAUUGCAAAGUUGCUGUCCAAUGCCAUCGAUAGCCUCACGAAUUCAAUCUUUGAGGUCUUGAAUCGAUCUUU